UGGGGAAUUUUGCGCAAUGGGGGAAACCCUGACGCAGCGACGCCGCGUGAAGGAUGAAGGUCUUCGGAUUGUAAACUUCUUUUGUCGGGGAAGAUAAUGACGGUACCCGAUGAAUAAGCCACGGCUAACUCUGUGCCAGCAGCCGCGGUAAGACAGAGGUGGCAAGCGUUGUUCGGAAUUACUGGGCUUAAAGGGCGCGUAGGCGGUGGAGUAAGUCUGAGGUGGAAGGUCAGGGCUUAACCCGAAAUUGCCUUGGAAACUGCAUCACUUGAGUCAGCGAGGGGAUGGCGGAAUUCCAGGUGUAGCGGUGAAAUGCGUAGAUAUCUGGAGGAAGGCCGGUGGCGAAGGCGGCCAUCUGGCGCUGAACUGACGCUGAGGCGCGAAAGCGUGGGGAGCAAACAGGACUAGAUACCCUGGUAGUCCACGCCCUAAACGGUGGGUACUAGGUGUAGGGCUCGUAAGGGUUCUGUGCCGUAGGGAAACCAUUAAGUACCCGCCUGGGGAGUACGGCCGCAAGGUUA
rnacentral:rRNA from 1 species